rnacentral:rRNA from 1 species
GUGGGGAAUUUUGGACAAUGGGCGCAAGCCUGAUCCAGCAAUGCCGCGUGCAGGAAGAAGGCCUUCGGGUUGUAAACUGCUUUUGUCAGGGAAGAAAUCUUCUGGGCUAAUACCCCGGGAGGAUGACGGUACCUGAAGAAUAAGCACCGGCUAACUACGUGCCAGCAGCCGCGGUAAUACGUAGGGUGCGAGCGUUAAUCGGAAUUACUGGGCGUAAAGCGUGCGCAGGCGGCUUUGCAAGACAGAUGUGAAAUCCCCGGGCUCAACCUGGGAAUUGCGCUUGUGACUGCAAGGCUGGAGUGCGGCAGAGGGGGAUGGAAUUCCGCGUGUAGCAGUGAAAUGCGUAGAUAUGCGGAGGAACACCGAUGGCGAAGGCAAUCCCCUGGGCCUGCACUGACGCUCAUGCACGAAAGCGUGGGGAGCAAACAGGAUUAGAAACCCGUGUAGUCC